CCUGACGCUCUCAGAGUCUGGCCUUCUGCUGGGCCCCGGGUCUCUCACUGGCAGAAUGGAGUUCUCGGAGCUGAUCCAUACGGGCUGAGCCCAAGCAGAGUUUCUACGGGGCCCGGAGGCGCCCCCGCUUCGCGGCACGGUGUGAGUCACCGUCCACCACCUGCUCCUGUCGCCAGGGCCCGCGUCCUCUCCGGACCUGUGGCUGCUGCUGUUGCGUAGCGUCGACUCCUUCGAGAAGCAGGUUGCGAGUGACUCGGGCACCAUCACCCUGUGCUGUAAAGACCUGCGAGUGCUGCAGCUGGAAAUAGAGGGCGCGGAAGCGACGCUGGGCAUCGCCCGCUCCAUCGAGGUUCUGCUACGCUCCAGCCAGCCCCUAACUGGUCCCCAGAAGCGGCGCUGCUACAGGGACCAGGAGCUGCUGCGAACUGCGCUGGCGGGGGCUCGUCCUUGGGCGCGGGGCUUCAUCAUGGACACGCUCUCGGCCCAGGCCGCGAAACAAGCCCGCGUGACUGGCGGAGGCACAGAGACCAAGGCCGCUUAACCUGGCUGGUUGCACUGGUCCCUGGAGAGCACUGAGCACAGGGGCUGCCACAGUGGCCGGCUCAGACAUGGCAGAGAUCAGCAGAGAAUGGGCAAUCAGGCUCCCCUGAGAUGAGCAGCAGCGCAGAGGAGGUGCCCCUCUCUUACUACACCAACUUCAGAGGGCGUCCCCUGCAGGAGAGCUUCAUGCGCCUGGUGGAGGCCUGUGGGGACUCGGAGCAAAGCAUGGACAACUGGCUGAGUCGGCUGGACGGCUGCCGCUGACUGUAACAUGUAAAGCAGGCACUGAGCACCACCUGCCUGGCAGUCCAGGGCAUGGAGAGGCACAGACAGCACCCUGCUUGUGACUUCACUGGCCCAACUCAUCCUGGACCCCUUGAGCAAGACCAUGGCUGGAUUCCAGGAACUGGUGGAGUGGAAGUGGAUCCAGGAAAAUGCCGUGUGAAGGGAGGACUCAGAUGCACUCCCUGUGGUCUGGGCUCAACCAGCCAAAAGAGCAACAAAGACUCCAGAACCCACUCUACCUCCUCAAUCCCUUGGCCAUCUGUGGAGCCCCAGAGCCUGCGGCUGUGGCAAGGCCUGUUUCUGCGCUGGACCUGCUCACCUGAGCCUGCAGAAGCUGCAUGGGGGAAGAGUGUGGCAAAUAGUGACAGGAAGGGAGAAGACAGAAGCCUCUCAGCCAACUGCUUCAGCCGAGCCCCUAUUCUAAGCACUGGCUCCUUGGAUAGCAGCUGAGAUGUUCCUGAAACCUCUGCAGGCCCCUUAGGACCUUUACACCUUGGAUGAGGGUGCCUGCAACCCAGGUUAGCCAAAAGUACUGAGGGUCUUAAGUUUGAAGUGUCCAAAGUAUAGGGAGGUCUCAAUAAUAAAAGUCUCCAUGAUCAGCA
rnacentral:lncRNA from 1 species